AUGUCACUAGGUACAUUUUCAAGAAAGAUCACCAAAGAAUUUCACGUCACCCCUAAUAGAUGGAAGCUAGCUAGGGCAAGAACUGGAGCACUUAAGGAGAUCCAUGGUGAUGAAGAAGAGCAAUUCAGUAGGCUUUGGGACUAUGGUCAUGAAUUGAGGAAUACCAAUCCUGGGUCUACAUUUCUUCUAUCAACUGAGCUUGUCAAAGACAAAGAUUUCCCACUGGGCAGGAAAUGUCUGAAAACUCUAUAUUGGUCUUAUGAUGCAUGUAAAAGGGGGUGGCUCAAGGGAUGCAGGCCUAUUAUUUUCAUUGAUGGUUGUCACAUGAAAAAUAGGUUUAAAGGAGUGUUGCUUAGUGCAAUAGGUAUUGAUCCUAAUGACUACAUUUUCCCCAUUGCAAUGGUUUGGGUAUAA
rnacentral:rRNA from 1 species